AUUGAACGCUGGCGGCAGGCCUAACACAUGCAAGUCGAACGGUAACAGGAAGAAUCUUUCUUCUUUGCUGACGAGUGGCGGACGGGUGAAUAAUGUGUGGGCAACUGCCUGAUGGAGGGUGAUAACUACUGGAAACGGUAGCUAAUACCGCAUAACGUCGCAAGACCAAAGAGGGGGACCUUCGUGCCUCUUGCCAUCGGAUGUGCCCAGAUGGGAUUAGCUAGUAGGUGGGGUAACGGCUCACCUAGGCGACGAUCCGUAGCUGGUCUGAGAGGAUGAGGGGCCACACUGGAACUGAGACACGGUCCAGACUCCUACGGGAGGCAGCAGUGGGGAAUAUUGCACAAUGGGCGCAAGCCUGAUGCAGCCAUGCCGCGUGUAUGAAGAAGGCCUUCGGGUUGUAAAGUACUUUCAGCGGGGAGGAAGGGAGUAAAGUUAAUACCUUUGCUCAUUGACGGUACCCGCAGAAGAAGCACCGGCUAUCUCCGUG
rnacentral:rRNA from 1 species